GACAGAGGGUGCAAACGUUGCUCGGAAUUACUGGGCGUAAAGCGCGUGUAGGCGGACCACCAAGUCGGACGUGAAAGCCCUGGGCUCAACCCGGGAACUGCAUCCGAAACUGGCGGUCUGGAGUAGUGGAGAGGAAAGCAGAAUUCCUGGUGUAGAGGUGAAAUUCGUAGAUAUCAGGAGGAACACCGGUGGCGAAGGCGGAUCUCUGGGCCGAUACUGACGCUGAGGAGCGAAAGCGUGGGGAGCAAACAGG
rnacentral:rRNA from 1 species